GAUGAACGCUGGCGGCGUGCCUAAUACAUGCAAGUCGAGCGAACAGACGAGGAGCUUGCUCCUCUGACGUUAGCGGCGGACGGGUGAGUAACACGUGGAUAACCUACCUAUAAGACUGGGAUAACUUCGGGAAACCGGAGCUAAUACCGGAUAAUAUAUUGAACCGCAUGGUUCAAUAGUGAAAGACGGUUUUGCUGUCACUUAUAGAUGGAUCCGCGCCGCAUUAGCUAGUUGGUAAGGUAACGGCUUACCAAGGCGACGAUGCGUAGCCGACCUGAGAGGGUGAUCGGCCACACUCGAACUGAGACACGGUCCAGACUCCUACGGGAGGCAGCAGUAGGGAAUCUUCCGCAAUGGGCGAAAGCCUGACGGAGCAACGCCGCGUGAGUGAUGAAGGUCUUCGGAUCGUAAAACUCUGUUAUUAGGGAAGAACAAAUGUGUAAGUAACUAUGCACGUCUUGACGGUACCUAAUCAGAAAGCCACGGCUAACUACGUG
rnacentral:rRNA from 1 species